rnacentral:rRNA from 1 species
UACGUAGGGUGCGAGCGUUGUUCGGAAUUACUGGGCGUAAAGCGUGCGCAGGCGGUUCUCCAAGUCCGUUGUGAAAGCCCCGGGCUCAACCUGGGAAUGGCAGUGGAAACUAGGGGACUGGAAUCUGGCAGAGGGGGGUGGAAUGCCGCGUGUAGCAGUGAAAUGCGUAGAGAUGCGGCGGAACACCGAUGGCGAAGGCAGCCCCCUGGGCUGAGAUUGACGCUCAGGCACGAAAGCGUGGGGAGCAAACAGG